UACGUAGGGUGCAAGCGUUGUCCGGAAUUAUUGGGCGUAAAGAGCGUGUAGGCGGUUCGGUAAGUCUGUCGUGAAAUCCCGAGGCUCAACCUCGGGCGUGCGAUGGAUACUGCCGGGCUAGAGGGUGGUAGAGGCGAGUGGAAUUCCCGGUGUAGCGGUGAAAUGCGCAGAUAUCAGGAAGAACACCUGUGGCGAAGGCGGCACUCUGGGACGGUACUGACGCUGAGGCGCGAAAGCGUGGGGAGCAAACAGG
rnacentral:rRNA from 1 species